AUGGUAAUGAGAUUCAAUUGUUCAAAUUUUGAUUCAUCAAUUUACCUCAUUGUAUUAUUGUACAAUUUUCUUGAUUACUUGAAAAUGUUAAAUAGGCUUGGAUCUCAUCCCAAAAGUUAGCUCAAAUGAUGAGGGUACUCAAGCAUAUUUAUACAUCCAACAGCCUAAGAACUUGAGCGAUAUAGGACAAAUAACAAACUACAAAUAAUUCAAAACCAACUUCAACAAAAACAACAUAUAUUAAUUAAACAACAGGCCUAACAAAAGCAUAAGAUAUGCUGAUGAAAGGAAAACCAUGAACAUACAUCAUUAUUGAAAUUUGGAUGGAUAUUAAGAAACCCAAUUAUUUAAAGUUGUACAUAAAUGCAUAAUAUCGAUAUUAAGCAGGAAGAGACAUCUUCAAGAAGUCUUUUUCGAAUUUCAAGCUAGAGGCCAUCUUGAAUGUGUUUACUGCUUCAGAGAUAGAGGGAAAACACAAGCCAUAUUUGAGAUUGGAAUUAGGAAAACGAGCACAAUAAUUCCCACUACCCUUUUCUGUGCAUUCAGUAUGAGACCAACAUAACUUAGGUUGUUCCUCUACCUUCUUCUUAAGCUCUGCAGAUGAAUGAGGAGUGACACAUUUAAAGUUAAGCCGCGGAGGAAGUGAUGCAAUAAAGGGUUCGCAGUCACAAUCGCCACUACAAUAAAGUCGAGGGUAAGGGCAAUAAGCGCCACAUUUAUCUGCUUCUACUUUCUUCAUUGGGAAUAUCACUAAUGCGGCAAGCAAGAAGACAGCCAAAGGAGCUAGCUUAACAUAAGUCAUUGUUCUAUCAAAAGAAAGAACCAGCUAC
rnacentral:lncRNA from 1 species